ensembl:misc_RNA 7SK 7SK RNA
GGAUGUGAGGGCGAUCUGGCUGUGAUCACCAGGGUUGAUUUGUUGAUCUGACUGGGUGGGCACAUGUCCCCUUUUCCCCUCACCACUCCAUGUGUGUCCCUCCUGAAGAUGUGCACUGGGUCAAAGAGAACCAUCACCCUUGAUAGAGAAGAACCAUUUCCUUGUCAACGGUAUACGAGUAGCUGUACUCCUCUGCUAGAACCUCCAAGCAAGCUUUCAAGGAAAAGGCCAAGGAAAUAACAGUGAAACUUUAAUUUUAUCAGAAAAUACCAUCUUGUGUUUGAAACAACUCUGUU